rfam:TPA: Bos taurus chromosome 6, whole genome shotgun sequence.
UCCCAGGUGGCUCAGUGGUAAAGAAUCUGUCUGCCAAUGAAGGAGAUGCAGGAGACCCAGGUUUGAUUCCUGGGUUGGGAA